GGGGAAUAUUGGACAAUGGGCGCAAGCCUGAUCCAGCAAUGCCGCGUGUGUGAAGAAGGCCUUCGGGUUGUAAAGCACUUUUGUUAGGGAGGAAAGUCUGGUAGCUAAUAACUGCUAGAUCUGACGUUACCUAAAGAAUCAGCACCGGCUAACUCUGUGCCAGCAGCCGCGGUAAUACAGAGGGUGCAAGCGUUAAUCGGAAUUACUGGGCGUAAAGGGUCUGUAGGCGGAUUAUUAAGUCGGAUGUGAAAUCCCCGGGCUCAACCUGGGAACGGCAUUCGAUACUGGUAGUCUAGAGUGUGCAAGAGGAUGGGGGAAUUCCUGGUGUAGCAGUGAAAUGCGUAGAUAUCAGGAGGAACAUCAAUGGCGAAGGCACCUUUCUGGGGCAACACUGACGCUGAGAGACGAAAGCGUGGGGAGCAAAC
rnacentral:rRNA from 1 species